GUAGAAUCCUGCGGAUGGGAAUGCUCUUCCUUGGCUCCCCGUUGACGCCACAGGAUAUCCCAAGCCAAGCUCAAGGGAUGACUUUGUAGAUGCUCCCCACUCAGAUAAAAGGCGUACUUGUAGAAUCCUGCGGACGGAGGUGCUCUUCCUUGGCUCUCUGUUGACGCCACAGGCCAUCCCGAGCCAAGCUCAAAAGAUGACUUUGUAGAUGGAACCUGUAGUUGUGAGACCCUCGGGCUCUCGCUAAGUCGUGCAGGGCACCCCGAGACAAGCUCCAGGGGUGACUUUAUAGAUAGAACCUGUAGUUGUGACGCCCUCAGACU
rnacentral:lncRNA from 1 species